rnacentral:rRNA from 1 species
UACGUAGGGUGCGAGCGUUAAUCGGAAUUACUGGGCGUAAAGCGUGCGCAGGCGGUUCGUUGUGUCUGUCGUGAAAGCCCCGGGCUCAACCUGGGAAUGGCGAUGGAAACUGGCGGACUGGAGUGUGGCAGAGGGGGGUGGAAUUCCGCGUGUAGCAGUGAAAUGCGUAGAGAUGCGGAGGAACACCGAUGGCGAAGGCAGCCCCCCUGGGCUGACACUGACGCUCAGGCACGAAAGCGUGGGGAGCAAACAGG